rnacentral:lncRNA from 1 species
AAAUGAUUAUUUAUUUGAAGAUAGAUAAAUUAUUUGAAAAGCCAAGAUUAUCUUCAAAUAAUAAUAUCUUUUAUUUGGCAAUAUUCAAUUAUUUUAAAAAUUAUUUAUUUCAAAUAAAAUUUGCCCAGGUCUGCACUAACCUAAUCUACAUCUCAAUAUUUUCAGGAGAGAUCCUGGCCUGGUCGUCAAAUCUCAUCUCUCAACUUCCGAUUGAUCAUAGGUAUUGACCAGCCUGUGAUGAGUUUUAAAAGUGGCAGCUUAUCUUAAUAAUACUAUAUAAUAUACUAAAAUUCCCAUAGUCAUACUAUAUAAGCGUGAUUAUGAGAAUUCAACUGAAAUUAAAUUAUAAAAUUCGGUGAUAUAAUCCAUGUGAAUAUUUGGAGGAUUUUAAUAUACAGUAUUAAUGAUUUCCGUGUUCAUAGCGAUUAUAACGAAAAUAUUUUCUGCUUCUUAUCAUUCUUCCGAGUCUUCAAAUUUGAAUGAAAACGAGGUCAGCGUAACUUUCUUGUUCGGUUAGAGCUGAAGUUUCUAUCGUCUACUGAUCUUUAUAGAUAUGCAAACAAGCGGCUGGAUGGCCGAGUGAUAACGCUGUUGGCGUAUCACGCAGGAGGACCCGGAUUUGCGUCUCGGGUCAGAGAACUAUUGAAAAGUUUUUCGGGGUGCUGGACACGCCCGGGAACACGGCGUGGGUGCAGCUUGUGGUUGGAACUGGCCCCGCCUCUUAGUAAUCUCCCUGAUUGGAAAGACACGUACAAUAUGCAAAAAAAGUUAUGCAAAUAUUAGAUUUGAGAUUUCUCAGCUAUUUUCAAUAAAAAAAAUAGAUUAUUAAUACAAUAUAUGCCAAAAUAUACUGUAUUGAAACUCUUGCAUCUCAAACGUGCAUAUGCGUUUGUAGAUGGGACAUAGCUCCAGCCGCAUGGGUUUCCAGUAGUGAAAAGGAAGUUGUGUUGUGCAGUUGUUGUUGGAAAUGGGUCUC